CAGCAGCCGCGGGAAUACGUAGGGUGCAAGCGUUAAUCGGAAUUACUGGGCGUAAAGCGUGCGCAGGCGGUUAUAUAAGACAGAUGUGAAAUCCCCGGGCUCAACCUGGGAACUGCAUUUGUGACUGUAUAGCUAGAGUACGGCAGAGGGGGAUGGAAUUCCGCGUGUAGCAGUGAAAUGCGUAGAUAUGCGGAGAAACACCGAUGGCGAAGGCAAUCCCCUGGGCCUGUACUGACGCUCAUGCACGAAAGCGUGGGGAGCAAACAGGAUUAGAUACCCCCGUAGUCCCUGUCUCUUAUAC
rnacentral:rRNA from 1 species